rnacentral:rRNA from 1 species
GACGUAGGGCGCGAGCGUUGUCCGGAUUUAUUGGGCGUAAAGAGCUCGUAGGCGGCUUGUCGCGUCGACUGUGAAAACCCGUGGCUCAACCAUGUGGUCUGCAGUCGAUACGGGCAGGCUAGAGUUCGGCAGGGGAGACUGGAAUUCCUGGUGUAGCGGUGAAAUGCGCAGAUAUCAGGAGGAACACCGGUGGCGAAGGCGGGUCUCUGGGCCGAUACUGACGCUGAGGAGCGAAAGCGUGGGGAGCGAACAGG